UCUCCUACGGGAGGCAGCAGUCGGGAAUAUUGCGCAAUGGAGGAAACUCUGACGCAGUGACGCCGCGUAUAGGAAGAAGGUUUUCGGAUUGUAAACUAUUGUCGUGAGGGAAGAAGAUGACAGUACCUCAGGAGGAAGCUCCGGCUAACUAUGUGCCAGCAGCCGCGGUAAUACGUAGGGGGCAAGCGUUAUCCGGAAUUACUGGGUGUAAAGGGAGCGUAGACGGUAAUGCAAGUCUGGAGUGAAAGGCGGGGGCCCACCCCCCGGACUG
rnacentral:rRNA from 1 species